AGAAGAUCGGAAGCAAGAAGAGAAGGACACUAGUUUGCAAAUCAUUAAUAAAAAAAUUAAAAAACCAGGAAAACCAACAAUAAUAAUAGCAAUUUGGCAGUGGGAGUAGCCGAGAGUAGCAGUGGGUGCUUGCUUGCUUGCUUUGCUCUUGUCAGGGAAUGGGGAAUAAAUGUAAAGGGGAUGGACAAAAUGGGAAACACAGUCCCUCUCAAAAGCUACAAAAGACCUG
rnacentral:misc_RNA from 1 species